rnacentral:rRNA from 1 species
GCUAAUACCGCAUAAGCCCACGGGUCGGCAUCGACCAGAGGGAAAAGGNGCAAUCCGCUUUGAGAUGGCCUCGCGUCCGAUUAGCUAGUUGGUGAGGUAAUGGCCCACCAAGGCGACGAUCGGUAGCCGGACUGAGAGGUUGAACGGCCACAUUGGGACUGAGACACGGCCCAGACUCCUACGGGAGGCAGCAGUGGGGAAUAUUGCACAAUGGAGGAAACUCUGAUGCAGCGACGCCGCGUGAGCGAAGAAGUAUUUCGGUAUGUAAAGCUCUGUCAGCAGGGAAGAUAAUGACGGUACCUGACCAAGAAGCCCCGGCUAACUACGUG